rnacentral:rRNA from 1 species
GGAGCUAUUGGCUUUGAAUUGUAUUGUGGAAAUGUAUUACCAACAGAGGUGCAGGUGCCAGCCUAUUGAAAUAAAGCGUCAAUGAGGGUGAGAAUCCUGUUUGUCAUGUGCAGCCCUUUGUGCACGGUGUAUAUUUGCUGAGUCACACUCCUUGGCAUUGGAAUGCAAAGUGGGUGGUAAGUUUCAUGUAAAGGUAAACAUGCAAUUGAGACUGAUAGCACACAAGUACCAUGAGGGAAAUAUGAAAAGGACUUUGAAAAGAGAAUUAAAUGAGUUUGUAUUUGCUGAACACAAAGUAAACAGACUUGAUUUGCUUGGUGGGAGUGUUGCACUUGCUUGACAAGAGCUUUGGGCUGUGGGUGUAAUGAUUCUUUCUUUGCAUGCCAGUUUCUAUUUGUACAUCUGAUUACCUUUGCACAUGAAUGAUAAGUCUCCUGUGGGGGGUGGAUUGCAUGUGCAUGUAAUGAUUUGUGUUUUGAUAAAUGUGUCUGGUGUAUGUGUGUGUUCCUGUGCUUGGGGAUGCUUCCUUCCUUGGACUUACAAGCCCUGACACACACAUGCUGGCAAAAUGCUUCUGCUUGACCCGUCUUGAAACACGGACCAAGGAGUCUAACAGAUGUGCAAAGUUUGAAGGUGGUAUACCUUUGUGUGCAAUGAAAGUGUCAGCUGGGAUAUGUGCACCAGCACCCAAUUAAUUAGCGGACAGAGGUUUGAGUUGGAGCAUAUCUAUUAGGACCCGAAAGAUGGUGAACUAUGCCUGAACAGAAUGAAUUCAGAGGAAACUCUGAUGGAGGUUCGUAUCGAUACUGACGUGCAAAUCGUUCGUCAUAUUUGGGUAUAGGGGCGAAAGACUAAUCGAACCAUCUAGUAGCUGGUUCCCUCCGAAGUUUCCCUCAGGAUAGCUGGAGUUGCUCAGUUUUAUCAGGUAAAGCGAAUGAUUAGAGGAAUUGGGGACAGGUUUGUCUUU